CUCUCUCUAACCCUCUCUAACUCUGCCUUUCAUAUAAAUAAAUCUUUAAAAUAUAAUUUUAUUUUGGUGCAAAAAGAAGUUAGAAUCCAUGCAUAUGAAGGAUCUUCAAAAAGUCUAUGGAAAAAUGUGUAUUAUGAAAAAAACUGAACAGAUUUAAACAUUCUUUGCACCAAAAUAACUUAUCUUUUAAUAACAUUAUCCAUGAAUUUUUGAAGUACUCUCUUAUAGUACAACAUUUGUUCUCUGCUCUGGAGAUUUAAGAAUUUCAUUGUAAGGGUGGGCAUUUGGCACAGUGGUUAAUACAUCACUUUGGAUGCUUGCAUCCCAUAUUGGAGUACCUGAGUUUGAGUCCUGGCUCUGUUUCUGAUUCCAGCUUCCUGCUAAUGUGCACCCUGUGAGGCAAAAGGUGAUGGUUCAAAUAGUUGGGUCCCUGUCACCCCUAAGUUUCUGGCUCCUGACUUCAACUUGGCUCAGCUUCAGCUGUUGUGGGCAUUUCGGGGGCAGACUAGAGGAUAGAAGAAUUUCUCUGUCUCCUUCAAAUAAAUUUUUAAAAAUUAAGGAAAAGAAUCUUGUUAUAGACACAUCACUUUAUUAGAUAUUGCUGUCCAUAAGGUUUAAUUCAGGUACCACUAUGGCUAACCCUGUUCUCAGUUUUUGUAUUACCCUCCAGUUAACUAAUUUGGAUAAAAAAUUUCUUGUGCAUUUGAAAUACACAUAAAUACAUGCUAUCCCCUUCCUGGGUCCCAAUUAAACAACACCAGAAAAUUGGGCUAAUUAUGUGGGAAGUUUUUCAAUCCAAGUAGUACAGACACAAAUAUUUACUUCAAAAUAUUCCUCUAUUUCCAAAUGUAAUAUUAUUUCCAUGAAUUUCUCUCAUGUGUCACUUGGCCUUGAAUUACAUGAAAGAAAAUGAAGAAGGUGGGUGGUAGAGACUCAUGUCUACAGCAGUAAAUUCUUCUAAGCAUCAAACUAGCGUUUCACCUUGGGACCCUAAUUAAAGUCACCUUCUAUCAUUUUCAGUGUGUACCUCAGAGAAAUAGGCAUUUAAACAAAACUGACACAAGCUGACAGCCUUAUUAACUGCCAGCAUCAAGCCUGAUGACCCCAACCCAGAAUCCUCUCUCAAUCUGCUGCUGCAUACAAAUAAACCUCCUGGCCUGCGGUUGACCAGAUAGCUAUAGAGGGAGGAGAAGGGAAAUUGAAAUCAAGGUUUUGUAGUAAAUUUGCCUCUUCCUAAGCCCAUGAGAGUAAGUCAGAUUCCUCCCCAUCAAGCAUUAGUUGUAGCCAGCUGUGCACAUUGCUCUGUCAUUGUUGAAGUGGUAUCAAACUGUUAUCCCUCAUUUUGACUCCUGUUCAUGCAUUCAGGUAUUUACCACUAAAAAUUAUGCAAGGCCUUUUAUUCAGGACUUUUACAACAGGUGUCAAUGGAUGAGAGAUUGGGCUCAACUCUGAAUAUGGGGAUUUCCAGGCAGCAACCACAGGAAGAGGAUCAGGAAGCACAAAAUUGCCAAGAGGAGUUCAAGGGUAGGGGACUCCUGUUCAUCUGACUUCACAGGCUUCCUGCUGAAGGCCAGCCAGCGUGAUUAGAUGUCAAGGGAGACUGAGCUGCCACAGCAAUGCUGAAGUCGAUUUGAUAACAGUAUCUCGGACUCUCGGACAACAGCACAGUUCCCUGGGAAACUUGGUUUUUGGCUUGACUUUAUCAUGAAGAGGACAUAGCAGGAUAUUCUAUACAAAGUUAUAGACGCCCAUAUGGGAUGCCAGCGCUGCAGGCGGAGGAUUAACCAAGUGAGCCACGGUGCCGGCCCCAAGAAGCUCUUUUUUCCACUAGCGUUUCUCAAGGAAAAUAUGUUUGAACUAUACCAGGCCAGCUCCCUCUAGAGUCUCACUGGUGGCCCCCCAGACUCACAUAGAUGAUGAACCUAAAGCCCAGAAAAAGGAGAGGAAAGUGGAUGCCACAGGCUGACCCAAAGCAGGAGGCUCAAGAAGGCAUCUUCCAAGUUGACCAUGUCCAGGUGGUCCCCAAGUGUCCAGGUCUCCUCCUCCCACACCAGGGUGGAGACUUCCCCUCUUCUCUCACCUCUCCUCUCACCCUCUGUGUGUGGUGCUGUGGGGUGUGCAGCCACCCAGGUCAGCAAGUCAGUCUGUCAUUCACGUUUGAGACUUGGAGCAUUCCUUUAGCUAUGGAGCCCCAGUUUCCCCUUUUCUAACCACAAUGCAUGUAGAAAGUAUCUUAUGGGUGUCUUCCACUAAAAUGGGGAAGUAAACUGGAAAAAACUGGGGUCCAGAGAUCUGGAGAUCCAAAGGAAAAGCACAGCAAAUGGGGUCUCCAGGGUGGCUAAAGAGGGUGCAGGAUGACAAGUGGGCACAAGGGCAGCCAGUCCAGCCUGGAACACAAGCCUCAGAGACAGGAGUGGCAGGCAAGGGGUGGGCCAGCAGGGAGGUGGGGGGAAAUCUAUGUCCCAGUCUCUGAAUCAGAAAGAACAACUGAAGGAUGAGCUCCUGCAAAACAAGGGAGUAAACCAAGGAAGAGGAAGAUAUAGGAACAGGGAAGUCACAUGGGAAAAGGGUAGAAGACCACAGAUGACAGCUGCAGCAACCCAGACAGUAGCCACCCCAACAGGAAGAAACGAGACCCCAGAAGGGACUCACCAAGAGAAUCUGGAUCUGCCUGGCCUUGGGAGGGGUGGCUGCAGGGCAUGUGGGUAGUCAGGAGUUUAUUUAUAAGCAAAUGGUGGAAUAACAGAAUUACUGACUCUAAGAAAACAGUAGGGGCCGGCAUUGUGGCACAGCUGGUAAAGCCACCACCUGUGAUGCUGGCAUCCCAUAUGGGCUCCCAUUAGCACUCAGUUGCUCCACUCCCAAUCCAGCUCUCUGCUGAUGUGCCUGGAAAAAGCAGCAGAAGAUGGCCCAUGUGUUUGGGCCCAUGCCACCUACAUGGGAUACCUGGAUGAAGAUCCUGGCUCCUGGCUCCUGGCCCCUGGCUCCUGGCCCCUGGCCCCUGGCUUUGGCCUGACCCAGCUCUGGCUGUUGCAGUUAUUUGGGGAAUGAACCAGGGGAUUGAGGAUAAGUCUCCCUGUCUCUCCCUCUCUCUCUUUGUAACUUUGACUUUCAAAAUAAAUGAAUAUCUUUUUUAAAAAAAAAAAAGGAAAGAAAGCAGAAAGUAAGAAAACCAUCACAGUGCAUGAAAUUCUUACCUGCAAAUGAUGUUUGCAUCAGCAGGAUAAUGUGAACAGGGAAACUGGGUUUAUCGAAAUAUUACACUCUGGGGAAGGGCACGAGAAGAAAGGGAGAGAAUGUGAUGAUGGAUGAGAAGGAUAGGACGUCAAUAAAUAGUGGCUAAGUCGAUAAAGUGACAUGAAAACAGCAUCAGCACAUAGUUUAGAACCACGAACUUAUUGAAAUGCCAACAGGAACAACAACGAGAGCUGAAAGUAGUUGCCUCUGAAAAGGGCAAGGACAGGAAAGGGGUAUGCUGGGCACAGGGAACUGCUGUGCUUUGUGCUUCCACACUUGAAUCAUUAAGCUUUGAGUAUAUACUACUUUGAUAAAAUGCAAAUGCACAUAGGGCCAAGCAUUGUGGCACAGUGGGUUACGCUACUAUUUGCAAUGCUCGUAACCCAUAUCAGAGUGCCUGUUUGAGACCUGGCUGCUCCACUUCCAAUCCAGAUUCCUGUUAACGUGGCUGGAAAGGCAGCAGAAGAUGGCUCAAGUACUUGGGCCCCUGCCACCCAUGUGGGAGACCUAGAUGGCUCUUGGCUUCAGCCUGGUCCAGUCCUGGCUGUUGUGGCCAUUUAGGGAGAAAACCAGUGGCUGGAAAAUCUCUCCCUUCUCUGUCUAUCUGCCUUUCCCUCUCUCUCUCUGUCUCUCUUACUCUGCCUUUCAAAUAAAUAAAUACAUUUAAUAAAUAAAUAAAAACAAAAAUUGCAGUAGUGAAUAUAUUGAUAUUGUAAGUUCUGUAUAUUGCAACAAGAGUACAAAAUGUCUCAGAAUUGUACACUGCAAGAAGAUCCACUUGUGAUUUGGCUCCACUUAUGUAACAUAUUUCCAUAAAUCUACUUUUCUGGGUCACACAACAAAGAGAAGCUAAUAAAGGCAGCUUUUCUUAGCAGGAGUAUUAAGUAAAUAAUGAGAAAAUCCCAGAUACUCACAGCUCCUAUAAAGAAAGAAAUUCAUAAAAAAGUAGCAUUUCCUCACGUCCAUGAGCAUGGACAAAUGACGGGAGUAGAGGGGAGAGCAAAGAAGGGAGAAGAGAGGAGAUGAAAAGCACUUAAAAUCGUUUAAAUCCCACAUUUUAAUUCUUCCCAACCUUUUCAUCUUCUAUUUAAAUAUCUGCCCUUUCUCGAACAGAUGAAUGUUCAUUUAUUCUAAAAAAUCUUUUGUCUGCCUUUUCCAGAUUCUCUUAGGAUUCUUUCUCCAUCCAUCAGUGUCAGAAUCUUCACCCCAAUGUAGUUGACCUUUCAUGCCCCAAACAAAUUGUGGUACAAAAUCCAAAGCGGCCCUCAUCCAACAAAUACACAGGAGGCACUGCACAUAUGCUAGGCAUGACCGUAGGAGCCAAGGAUUCCAUGUGGACCACGAACAGUCUGGUUUCCACUCCGGAGCUUACAGUUCCUGGCAAAGGCAGCAGUGGCUCAACCAAACAGCUGUGACAUCACACGUGUGAGAAACGCUGGAAUCCCGGCUGAGCAGGUGCUCAGCGUGCGUGAUGCUCCGGCCAAGGAUGACAGAGCUUUCCUCGGCCAAAGAGGAGGACAGGGUGUGUGUGCCCAGGCCUGAGGCUCGUGCCAGGCGCUGAGCAUUGGUGCUGAACCCUCAUUGCUUUGGCUAAGUUCAAUGAUGUGGGGGAAGGGGGAGUGUUUAGCCUCGCCGCUGUGUCUCCUGGAGAACACAACAGCCAGGCAGGCCACGGAGGGCGGGUCUCAGGGCCGAGGGGGAUGUCAGGGCUGUGGGCCAGAGCCCUUACCGCAGCACCCAGGGCGCGGAACGCACGAGGAAGGAGGUGGUGGCUCAGGCGCGCACGCUGAACUGCCCCGAGGCGGGGCCUCGGCCACUUCCUGUCCACGUGACGGUCGCCACUAAAGGUUUGGCGUCCUCUCCAGUCCGCCUAACGCUCUGGCGUGGGCCCGGGAUUAUGUGGGAACGGCAAUUACGUGGACCAUUGUGUACAUGGGACGGUAUCGACUGACAGGAAUCAAAAGAGCGAGGAGGAGCAGGAGAGGCGGCCAGGCCAGCCCACCGCGUGCGCGGGGAUGCGGCCCCGGGGCCUCUCUGAAGAGGAGCCCGCGGAGAGGGAGGCAGCCGGACAUUUUGCAGUUCGAAAGGGACAGUCCGGCAGCCGUGGAGAGAGGGGCUGGAGGGUUGAACGAGGCAGCUGAGGAGGCUUUGAAGCAGUCAGCGAGAGAGAGAAUAGCACCCCUACACCAGGAGGGGUCAACAGUCCAAGGCGACAGCUCCGAGAGAGGACCGAGUGUCCAUGCCUGUGUGCGCAGCCCCUCCUGAAGCCUUGCAGGACCUUUCGGGGCCCAGCCGCUGCCUUUGGGAGGUGAGGAGACACACAGAGUGGCCAGCAGGGGAUGGCCUUCCGCACGCUCCUCCCAGGCCCGGGAUUCCCGACACCUCUGUGACACUGGGGCGCUGCUUGCCGUCUCUGACUCCUAAGACAACCAACUCUCUGGACGGGUCAGUGGAGGUGGUGACCAGGUUCGCGCAGCUGGUUGAAACUGGCCGGCCUCCCUCCAAACUUGUGAAUUUUUCCUGCUUCCUGUGAAGGUGAGUAGUGAUCAGAUACAGUAAGCAGAAAUUUCUGUCGGAGGAAAAGUUGGCUAGUAAGGGUGAGAUUCCCCGGGGAAGCCUGAAAGGAGCUGAAGCAAUGAAGUAAUCAUAUUAAAAAAAAAAAAAAAAAAAUCCUGGGAUAGUUGCAUACGAUAAACGCACAGGUUUUUUCUUUUUUGUUUUAAAGAUUUAUUUAUUUAUUUGAAAGGCAGAGUUACAGAGAGGCAGAGGCAGAGAGAGAAAGAGAGAGAGAGAGAGAAUCAGAAUCAGCCGGUAUUCCAUCCACUGGUUCACUCCCCAAAAGGCUCAAUGGCCAGGGCUGAGCUGAUUCAAAGCCAGGAGCCAGGAGCUUCUUCUGGGUCUCCCACAUGAAUGCAGAGGCCAAAGCACUUGGGCCAUCUUCCACUGCUUUCUCAGGCCAUAGGAAGGAGCUGGAUUGGAAGAGGAGCAGCCGGGACUCGAACCAGCACCCAUGUGGGAUGCUGGCACUGCAGGCAGCAGCUUCAUGUUACAACACAGUGCUGGCCCCAACACACAAGUCGUAAAAGUACAGUUCAAUAAGCUCUGAAAAUAGAAGGUACCCAUGCACUUAGCACCUUGAUACAGAACAUUUCUCUCAUUUUAAAAAGUUCCCUUCUGGCCACUUCCAGGAUGUCCUCUUCCCCCACCCAGAGGCAGCCUCUCUUUUGGUUUUUUCUUCUUUCUUUCUUUUCUUUUUUUUACUUAUUUUAUUUUUUUAAUUAGUAAGGCAGGCUGGGGACACACACAUCCUUCAACUGCUGGCUUGCUACACAAUCUGACAGAUCUCUCACAUGGGAGGCAGGAGCUGAGCACUUGAACCAUCUUCCACUGCUUUCCCAGGCCAUGAAGAGGGUGCACGAUUGAAAGUGGAGCAACUUGGACUUGAACCUGAGCUCACAUGGGUUGCAAGCAUGUAACCCACUGCACUAGUAUGCUGGACCCAUUUCUUUUGAUUUCUGUUCCCAUGGAUUAGUGUUGAUUAUUGUUGGGCUUAAUAAAAAUGGAAUCCCAUGGUAUGUGUUCCUAUGUGUCUGGACAAGUGGGACAUUUCUGAGAUUCAUCCACACUAUGUCUGCAUUGGGAGCUUGCUCCAUCCUUUUGCUGAGUGGUAGCCACUUUUAAGUGGAUGAUUACUAUGGUUUCUCAGGCUUUGCCACAUUAUAAGUAAUAUCUUACGGAUUGAAAGUAUAUAUUUUAAAAUUUAAAUUUCAUGGGUUUGCUGUGAUCUUGUUUCUCUUAUACAACAAGGGCGUUAGAACUGAGAGCGAAAAUAUCUCUUUUUCCAAGUCACACAUCAAUAAACUGACAGCGUCCAAGACCAGAAUUUCUGACAGUAAUUGGUGGAUUCUGCUCCCAGUGUUGAUAAUUAAGGCCAUCUGCUUCCAAGUGUCAUCUCAGAGGGAAACGAAAUCCCCAUGGCAAGCUCAAAAACAGCAUCAGGUUUUUGGAGACAAUCCCACCAAGGUCAAGGGUCGGCGCUGUGGCACAGUGGGUUAAAGCCCUGGCCUGAAGCGCCGGCAUCCCAUAUGCGCACCGGUUCUACUUUCUGCUCCUCUUCUGAUCCAGCUCUCUGCUAUGGCCUGGGAAAGCAGUGGAAGAUGGCCCAAGUCCUUGGGCCCCUGUAACCACAGGGAGACCCGGAAGAAACUCCUGGCUCCUGACUUUGGAUCAGCGCAGCUCCAGCCAUUACGGCCAUGUGGGGAGUGAACCAGUGGAUGGAAGACCUCUCUCUCUGUCUUCACCUCCUUCUGUAACUCUUUCAAAUAAAUAAAAAUAAAUCUUUAAAAAAAUCUUUAUUGUUACAUUAUAAACAUUCUUUGCAUAUUUUAACACAAGUCCAUAUCAGAUAUCAUUCUAAAAUAUUCUUCCAUUCUAUAAAUUCUGUUCAUUUUUAAAUUAUAUUUAUUGAAGCACAAAUUUUUUGCUUUUGAUGAAAUCCCAUGUAUCUACUUCUCUCUUUUGUUGCUUGGAAGUUUUUGUGUCAUCUCUAAAAACUAUUGCUUAAUUCAAGGUAACAAGAUUGACUCUGGAGUUUUCUUCUAAAAAUUUUACUUCUUACACGUAGGUCUAUGAUUCAUUUUGAAUUAAUUUUUAAAAAUGCUUAUUUUUUAUUUGAAAGGCAGAAUUACAUAUAUAUAUAGAGAGAGAGACAGAAAGAGAGAAAUCUUCUCUGCUGAUUUACCCUCCAACUGGCCACAAUAGCUAAACCCCGGCCAGGCUGAAGACACAUGGGUGGCAGGGGCCCAAGUACAUGGGUCAUCUUCCAUUACUUUCCCAGGAAUGUAGUAGAAAGUUGUAUUGAAAGUGGGUCAGCUGGGACUCAAACCAGCAUUCAUACGGGAUGCUGGCAUCACAGCUGGUGGCAUAACCUGUUAAUGCCACAAUGCCAGCACCUUGAUUUAAUUGUUGUAUAUAAUGUGAAGCAGCAGUCAAACCUUUUGUACAUGUAUGGAUAUCCAGUUAUCCCACCACCAUUUUUUGAAAAGCCUAUUGUUUCCCAUUGAGGUGUUUUUGAACUUUUGUCAAAAAUCAAUUGAUUUGGACCAUUUCUGUGACACAGCAGAAAAGCUGCAACCUACAGUGCUUGCAUUCCAUAUGGGCGCUGAUUCAAGCCCUGGCUGCUCCACUUCCAAUCCAGCUCUCUGCUAUGGCCUGGGAAAGCAGUAGAAGAUGGCCCAAGCGCCUGGGGCCCUCCACCCACAUGGGAGACCCGGAAGAAGCUCCUGGCACCUGGUUUUGGAUCAGUGUAGCUUGAGCUAUUAUAGCCAUCUGGGAAGUAAACCAACAGAUGGAAGACCUCUCUCUGCCUCUCUUCUGUAACUCUGCUUUUCAAAUAAAUACAUCUUUAAAAACAAAAAAGGAAUUAUCUAACAAUGAAUUAUUUUUAAAAAUGUAUCAUAAAUGUACGGCUUCAUUUCUUUAUUAAGAUUUAUUUACUUAAUUGAAAGUCAGAAUUACAAAGAGAGAGAGACAGAGACAGAGAUCUUCCAUCUGCUGGUUCACUCCCUAAAUGGCCACAAUGGUGGGAGCUGGGCUAGGCUGAAGCCAGGAGCCAGGAGCCAGAAGCCAGGAGCUUCAUCUGGGUCUCCCACAUGAGUGGCAGGGGCCCAAGAUCCUGGACCAUCCUCCGCUGCUUUCCCAGGCCAUUAGCAGAGAGCUGAUUUUGGAAGUGGAGCAGCUGGGACUUGAACUGGCAUCCACAUGGGAUGCCAGCUCUGCAGACGGCUGCUUAACCUGCUGUGCCACAGCACUGGCCCCAGAGUUUCAUUUCUAAAAUCCCUAUUCAAUUCCACUGACCUAUAUGUCUCUUCUUAGUCUAGGCCUGUAAUGUAUUGGUUACUGGUGCUUUAAAGUAAGUUUUGGAAUCAAAAUAUGAGAGUCCUUCAAUUUUGUUCUUCUUUUUCAAGAUUGUUUUGACUAUUUCGAGUCUUAAAAAUUUCCAUAAAGAUUUUCGGAUCAAGUUGUCAAUUUGCAAAGUAAGGCAGCUGGGAUUUUGAUAGGUCAUGUUAAAUUUGUGGAUCAAUUUAGAAAGUAUUGCCAUUUUAAUAAUAUCAUGUUUUUUAAUCCAUGAACAUAGGUGCCUUUCCUCUUUCUUAAGAGGAUUUCUUAAGGUAUUCUUUGAAAUUUUUUAAAUGGUUUUAUAGUUAUCAUGUACCUGUCUUAACUUCUAAAACUUACGGAUAAGGGUUAGAUGCUUAGUCUAGCAGUUAAGACAUUGGGUAAGAGAACUAUCUCCCACAUCAGAGUAUCUGGGAUUGAUUCCCAAGUCUGGCUCCUGACUCCAGCUUCCUUCUACUUUAGACCCUGAGAGGCAUCAGUGAUGGCUGUAUUCCUAUCACCCAUGUGGGAGACUUAGAUAGCAUUCCUGGCUCCUGGUAUUGGCCAGUCAUCUACUAGUGAGCUAGUAGAUAGGGACUCUCAAAUGAAUAAAUUUUUUAAAUCAUUAAUCAAAUUUUAUUUAUAAAUUUUUAUUACUUUUGAUGUUAUUGCGAAUUGAACUGUUUAAUUUUCUUUGCAGUUUUUCAGUUGCUGGCAUGUAGAAAUUCAGUUGAUUUUUAUAUAUUCAUCUUGCAUCCUACAUAAUUACUACAUUUGUUGGAAGGCAUUGAAUGCACUUAAGUGCAUUUCCCUGCUUGUAAAAUUUCUCUCCAUAAGAAGUAAUGUGUGGUUUAAAAAAAUAAGCAGGGCUAGUUAUUCUUAGAAUGUGACUGUUUUAAUAACUGAAAAUACUACAGGUUAGUGUAACAGGACUACUGUAUCCUUAAGCAGGGUCCCGCUCAGAGAGAAAGGUGUGGUAGUGUUCAACAGAGCAUAGCUAUUGGGAAUAAAUGGAAAAAUUAAAACAUUUGGUGUUUGACACCCCGAAGAGUUAAGACAAGUCACUACAUCAGUAACUAUGGUGAGAGAGGAUGGCGUGGGCUGUAACUUGUGUUACCCUGACAUUUACUGUCAGAGCAGUCUUGCAAACAAAACGGCACUUGUUUCUGUUUCUGAAAGAAUCCCGUGUCUUUGUCAAAUGCUCACUGAAUUUCAGGCAUGUCGUGAUCAAUGAGCACCCAAAUGCCCCAUCCUUGGGGUUGGCGUUUCCCUCUGUUGUUCACGUCUGGACCCAGCUGAGGGUAAGCAGGGCUCUCUGCUGUCUCAGAAAUCCCCUCCCAGCAGCAGAGCAUCUGCUGUCUGGGACAUACCAAGAAAAGCCUCAGUUGUCAGCCAAGAGAUAAGGCUCAGCUUGGGGACAACUUCUUGUGAAAGUGUAACAAUGCCUGGCAAGUUUCCCUAGCUCCUGGGGCAGGCAGGCCCGUCCCUGGCAGAAGUAAAGCAAUUUCUACCACUGGAGAGUUCGUGCCAGGAAUAAACCUAAGGAACACUUGUGUGCUACCUGCCAAGAUUCCCCAUAACUUCCAGAGUUCACAAGGACAGUUUCAGAACCAAAGCCUCCUGAAGACAUUGGUCUUUGAGCUUUUUAUACCCCACAAAUGAUGUUAUAAAUAUCCAAAUGGCCUUUGCCAGAAAGAAAGUUCGCCACCCCUGAACUCUAGUAGUUGACACCGGCAUCCCAUAUUGGUGUACCUGGAUUCAAUUCCCAGCUCCAGUCCUGACUCCACCUUCCUGUUAAUGCAGACUCUGGGAGGGAGCAUUGAUGGCUCAAGUACCUGGGUCCCUGCCACCCGUGUGGGAGACCUGGAUUGUGUUCUAGCUCCCAAUCUUGGUUCUGGUCAUAGGGCUGUUGUGGGCAUUUGAAAAGUGAACCAAUGAAUGGUAGUGCUCUCUUUUUUUCUCCCUCUUCUCACUGACAGAAUGAUUCAACUCCAAAGCUUCUAGGUAUCACCAGACCCUGGUUUGAGAAAACCCUGAGUGAAAUUCACCCACAUUCUUUAAAGACAGUGUGCUUCUCUUUAGUAUCUUUGUUUGAGCUGCUAUCAUGGAAAUAAUCUAGAUGUCCCUGAGAUGAUUCUAAAUAAUCACCUUUCAAGUGCACGCUGUAAAAAGUGGUAUUAACAUUUGCUGAGUGACAGCUCCACGCACUGCUCUGAAACAUUUACACACCAACCUCAAGUUAAUUAAAUUUGUUAGGAAGAAUUUUAAAAAUCACUUUGCCUCCCAAAUCAAUUCAAUACAUUGUGUUCAUUAAACAGAUAAGGAAAACAUCAUUCAUAUACAAUAAUACUUCAAAAAAUUUGUAAAGAUGGGAUUAAAAGUAUGAGUUUAUUUUGACUCAAAAAAUUCAUACAACUCUUUUCCAGUGUGUGGAAAACGUAUAUUGUGAAAAAAAAAAAAAAACUAUGCAUGAAUUUCAAAAAAGUUUUGGCAUCAAAGUAAACUCACUUUUAAUUCCAUUUUUCCACACACUUUUUAAAAUACUCCCAUAUAUAUUUUUUUCUCCAAUUUGCUUUCCUAACAUUGUUCUGAGCUUUCCUUUUCCAAAGUGACCGUAAAGGCAUCACAACCCACUAUCACAGUUCUGUCCUUCUGAUUUUCCCACUGUAGGACUAGAGAAACAAAGUCUCAAUCUGUCAUCUCUACUCUAUUAGGAACGACUUUGGCUCAGCCUUGAGUCUGAGACAUCACAUAUCAAUUGCACAGCACUGGGCUGGCAUUUGUUUCUGCCAGCAACAAUGCACACAGAUCCAGAGAACUGCUCUUCUGGAUGUAACUGCAAGAAAAUACAAGCUCUCUCGUUGUGGGGGUCUGAGGCUUAGGAAGCUAGAUCUAAAAGCUGCCCGGGAGUGCAUGGUCCCCAAAGCGCAUCUAUCAUAAUGUGCAGGCACCAAGAGAAUGUCUCUCUCUCUCUCUCUCUCUCUCUUGCUUUCACUCUCGUUCUCUUAGUCUCAUAAAUAAUAAAUAAAGAGCAAAAUAUAAAAAUUUUUAAAAGUUUCCAGGAAAGUGAAACCUGAAAGUUUAUUUUGGUACAACAGCUUUUUGAAAUCCAAGCAUACUUCAAAGUGUCUUCAAAGUGUUCAUGUCAAAUGUGCAUCAUGGAAAAACUCAUCCUGGAUUUCAAAAAUGUGACCGGGGGGGGGGGCAUCAAAAUAAGUAGAUGUUAGCUCCAUGUUUUUAAUAAAAGUUCUAGGAGGCCCUCAUCCUGAUACCCACCAGGACAGACCAUAGAUAGACACCACUACACAGCUUAGAACCACAGAGAGUGGGAGCAUGUUGAACCCUGAGAACAGCUGGUCCUGUCCACCACAGCCUCUGGGGAAGGCUGGGUACCUCCAAAUGAGCGGGCAUCAUCCUGAGGAUGCCUGGUGCCAACAUAAGGUGCCCUGUGCUUCAGAGUCGGCUUCAGGCUUUCCCAGCUUCAAACAGCUACACGCAGACUGGCUUGCUUUAAAAUACCACUUAGCAGGGCCAGUGUUGUAGCAUAGCCAGGAAAGCCACAGUCUGUGACACUGGGAACAUACACAGAUGCUGGUUCAUAUCCCAGCUGCUCCACUUCUAAUCCAACUCCCUGCUCAUGGCCUGAGAAAAGCAGUAGAAGAUGGCCCAAGUGUUUGACUUCUGGCUCCUGGCUUUGGCCUGGCUCCGUCCUGGCCGUUGCAGCCACCUGGCAAGUGAACCAGCAGAUGGAAGAUCUUUCUCUUUCUCUGUCUCUCUCUUUCUCCCUGACCUUCUCUGACCUUUCUGACUUUCAAAAUAAAUAAAUAAGUCUCUUUAAAAAUUAGAAAAUAAAAUGCCACUUAGCUAAAGCAAAGACCUCAACGUGCAGCUUAUAGAACUUUCCCACUAUGUAGGAAUGGGAUCCAUAUAUAUGCAUCACAGAUUUGUAGCAGAUAAAUGAGUCUGUGUAAACAGGUACCUAAGAAAAUUCUUAGCAAAUGCGUGUUGUGAAGAAAAAAAAAACAACUGUGCAUGGAUUUCAAAAUGUUUUUGUGCUAAAAUAAAGGUUCAAUUUCAUUUUUUUCACAAACUUUUUAAAGUGCCCUCAUAGAUAUAAAUGCUUAUCUUAAAAAUUCCUAAAUAGAAAAAUAUUUAAGCUAUAAACACAUACAUUUACAAACAUGUGUGCUCAUAUGGACAUAUAUUUAAGGAACUUUGCAUUUCUUAUUGUAUAGUAAUUAAGUUAAUUCAGUCUGUUUAUACGAAGAGCAUAUGCAAUCCUCCAGAAUGACAUUUUUCUAGGAAUAAAACUAAUUCUUAAAUUAUCACUAAAACAACUAAGUUCACUCUUCCCCUAUGAAAAGACUGAUAUCCUUUCAGAGACGCCAAAACUACUGGCAGCCACUCCUUCUUACCAAAAGUCUACAUUAGAUAGGAGAAACUCCAAAUUUCAUAUUUCCAGCUCUGUAACAACAGCAGAUUUUGAAAUAACAGAUCCUAUUCCUGAUUGAGGUUAAGAGAUCCAGUAGCACAUACAAUAAUUAUUCUCUGGAAAUAAAAGUGCUCUUUCCUACUUCUCCAUCAUAUGAUUCAGCAACACUGAAAGGAUGGCUUAUCCUGUUAUUUAUGUUCCAUGUAUAGUGAAUAUUUUUACUAGUAGUGCAAAGUAAUACAGGUUCCACUAAAAGGAACUGGUAGCCUCAACCUAUGAAUGUUGGCAGUGCAAUGUCCAUCAUUACUAUGGUGCUAAUGUCUCACUGCUGCCACCUUGUGGGGAUCCCAGUCUCAGCAGUGUUGAUCAGAUUAUGUUAAAAUUCAGCUUAUCUCCAAAUACUUAACCCCACUUAUUGACAAGGCCUGCGCUGUUAAUGUGUGUCUAGGUGUGGUCACCCAAGAAAGAGGUCUGGUUUCCUGAAAUGGGAAGAUGGUAGGAGGGAAGGCAUCGUGUGUGCCUUGUCUGGACUGAAGACUAUCAUACCCAAUGAGUAGAUCCCAUCCUAAGAUAUCAAAAGCACUGCACAGUCUCCCCCUUUCCUUUGGCCAUGGUAAAUCUGAACACAGAGUCCACAGAAUCCAUCCCCAGGGACAGUAGUCUGCCACUCUCCUUGAUGGACCAGUUUCAGAACCACCAGCAGAUCCUAAAAUUCAUGGCUUUCAUUCAUCCCUCAAUUAUCAUAUCUAAUACAAUGUAAAUAGAAUGUAUAAAUUCCAACAAGUACAAUGUAAAUGUUAUGGAAGUUGUUGUACUGUAUUGUUUAGGAAUAAUGACGAGAAAAAAAUGCCUAUACAUGUGUGAUAAAGAUAGCUUUUUCCAAUAUUUUCCAUCUGUGGGAGGUUGAAUCCUCAGAGCUGGAAUCCACGGACACAGAGGGCAAGCUAUGCAAUUACUGAAACAAGUGGCCCCUGCCCAUCAGCCAUAAGGGGGAGUGUGCUGUACACCCUACACCUCGGCAGGAACAGAGUCUGAUCCUUGCAGGAUUGUGUCUUCCACAGCUCUCAUGACGUCAGAGUGCUUUACAGAAUUCUAUUGCCAAGUAAAUGAAUAAUAAAAAUAGUCACCAGUGCUGCUCCCUUUUCUUCCCUCUUUCAGGGCUCAUUUACCAUGAGCUCACCAGGCAAGGAUUUUGUGGCCUCCUCCAGAGGCUAACCCUGACAGUUGCCUUCUCUGUCUGGCUUCUCUUAAUUCAGUGAUGCCACAGCAGAUGUCACCCUCAGGGGUCCAGCAAGUGAUGCCUAAUUGGCCUUGUGAACCCUGGACAGUGACUGAAGGCAGCUCUCUCACCAAAGGUAAACACUGGGUAGAAUUUCCAUCACAAGAGGCCACAGCAGUGCCCUGGAAAGAAACAGAAAUGCUUCUUGAUCUCUCAAGUCAUCAUUCUCAAGGCUCACAAGACCUCAGUGACCCGAAUAAAUCCCAAGGGGGUAAGUAUGUGAGAAGGGCAGAGCUUGUUUGUUGACCUCACUCAAUCCCCUUGUCCAGUCUAGUCUCAUCCCCCUUGCAGCCACUCAACACAAACAUUCACGCACACACACAUCUCAGCUUUCUCUCUGCCUUCAAGUCAAAUGCAUUAGUCCUCAAAUGCCAAACAAAGGGUUUAUCCACAGGGAACAGAAAUUUUUGUUUAUUUACAUACAGUUACAUGAAAGGAAGACAGAAAGUUCUUUUUUUUUUAAGAUUUUUUAUUUAUUUAUUUGACAGGUGGAGUUACAGACAGACAGAGAG